rnacentral:rRNA from 1 species
UACAGAGGGGGCAAGCGUUGUUCGGAAUUACUGGGCGUAAAGGGCGCGUAGGCGGCCUGCUAAGUCGAACGUGAAAUCCCCGGGCUCAACCCGGGGACUGCGUCCGAUACUGGUUGGCUUGAAUUCGGGAGAGGGAUGCGGAAUUCCAGGUGUAGCGGUGAAAUGCGUAGAUAUCUGGAGGAACACCGGUGGCGAAGGCGGCAUCCUGGACCGGCAUUGACGCUGAGGCGCGAAAGCCAGGGGAGCAAACGGG